rnacentral:rRNA from 1 species
UACGAAGGGGGCUAGCGUUGUUCGGAUUUACUGGGCGUAAAGCGCGUGUAGGCGGACUUGUAAGUUGGGGGUGAAAUCCCGGAGCUCAACUCCAGAACUGCCUUUGAUACUGGAGAGCUUGAGUCCGGAAGAGGUGAGUGGAACUCCGAGUGUAGAGGUGAAAUUCGUAGAUAUUCGGAAGAACACCAGUGGUGAAGGCGGCUCACUGGUCCGGUACUGACGCUGAGGUGCGAAAGCGUGGGGAGCAAACAGG